UUCUCGCCCUCGAUCUUGCAAGACCAAAAAAACACAGUGAGUCCUCCGUGCGCACCCGAAGUACCAAAGGAUAAGAUAAGCCGCCUGAAUCUUCCCUUCUCCUCCCCCUUCAACCGCCCACCUCCCUCGCCGCCUCCGCCUCCGCCUCCGCCGGCGAUGGGCCAGUCGUCGUCCUCGACGGCCCCCGCGCUCGGCGGCCGCGGCGCCGACCCCGACCCCGACCCCGACGACGGCCACUCGGCGGCCAAGUCGAAGGCCGUGAUCUGGCCGGUGCUCGGGGAGGCCGCCGCCGAGGAGUGCGCCGCCCCCGAUCUCUCCCUCUCCAUCUCCGAUCUCCCCGACGAGUGCCUGGCCUGCGUCUUCCAGUACCUAGGCUCCGGCGACCGGGCCCGGUGCUCCCUCGUGUGCCGCCGCUGGCUCGCGGUCGAGGGCCAGAGCCGCCAGAGGCUCGCCCUCCACGCCCAGUCGGAGCUGCUGGAAGCGGUCCCGGCGCUGUUCGCGCGGUUCGACUCGGUCUCGAAGCUCGCGCUCAAGUGCGACCGCAAGGCGCUGAGCAUCGGCGACGACGCGCUCGUGCUGAUCUCGCUCAAGUGCAGGAACCUCACGCGCCUCAAGCUGCGGGGCUGCCGCGCGCUCACGGACACGGGGAUCGCGGUCUUCACGAGCAAUUGCCGGGGGCUGAGGAAGCUCUCGUGCGGAUCCUGUGCGUUCGGAGCCAAAGGCUUGAACGCCGUGAUUGAUCACUGCGCCUCCCUCGAAGAGUUAUCUGUGAAGCGGCUCCGGAGUCCCACUGAAGGUGCUGCGGCGGAGCCGAUUGGGCCUGGUGCGGCUGCCGCCUCCCUCAAAACGAUUUGCUUGAAGGAGCUUUACAACGGACAGGGCUUCGGUCCGCUGAUCAUCGGCUCGAAGAAUUUGAGGACGUUGAAGCUGGUGAAAUGUUACGGAGAUUGGGACACGGUGCUCCAAGUUAUGGUGGAGAGGGUCGCAAAAUUAGUGGAGAUCCAUCUGGAGAGGAUCCAGGUAAGCGAUUUUGGCAUUGCCUCGCUAUCUAAUUGCUCGGAUCUCGAGAUACUGCAUCUGUUAAAGACACCGCACUGCACGAACUUAGGGCUCAUAUCGGUUGCCGAACGUUGUACGUUGUUGAGGAAGCUCCAUAUUGAUGGAUUGAAGCUGAACCGCAUUGGCGACGAUGGUUUGAUUGCUGUCGCAAAGCGUUGCCCUAAUUUGCGAGAACUUGUUCUUAUCGGCGUCAAUCCUACGGAGUUGAGCUUGGAUUUGCUAGGAUCUAACUGCCUCACGUUGGAGAGACUGGCGUUUUGCGGUAGCGAUACGGUUGGAGACGCUGAGAUUAUGUGCAUCGCGGCUAGGUGUGUGGCGCUCAAGAAGCUUUGCAUCAAGAAUUGCCCAGUUUCGGACGAAGGAAUGAAGGCAUUAGCCUCUGGUUGCCCUAACUUGGUGAAACUGAAGGUUAAGAAGUGUGGUGGAGUGACUUCUGAGGGUGCAGCUUGGUUAAGAAUGAGAAGGGGAUCGCUUGCGUUGAAUUUGGACUCCAGUGACCAAGAACAGAUAGACGCAUUCGCCAGUGAUGGUGGAGGAGAAGAAAAUCAUGUGGAGUUUCCUCCCGUACCUAGCCAAACAGCCGGCGCUAAUAUUGCAUCAUCGAGCGGCACCAGUCGGUCAUCUUCCUUUAAAUCGAGAUUGGGCAGUUUGAGAGGAAAGAGUUUGAUGGCAUGCACGUUCAGAAGAUGGUCAAGUGGCAGUAAAGAUUCCUAAAAGCCAAGAUCUUAGGGGAAUCUCUGAACAGCCAGGGUAAACCAAUGACUGUCCCUCGGCGCAUCAAAUUUGAAUUGUUGACUUUAUGGGUCUGAAGGUUUCGAACUUUGAUCUUCAGAUGAUCAGCUUCGUGCCAUCACCGAUUGUUGUCCUAACAUGCACAAACCUGUUCUAAUUGGUGUCGGUCCUAAAAAAAAUCGUGCUUGAGUUUGCUGGAAUUAAAUUGCCUGAGUUUAGAGUGGUUUUUAGCAAUCAAUGGUUAGUGAUACUAUUCACUUCGCUAAAUGUACAGCUCUAGAGAAACUUUGUACGGAGAAUUUCCCCAUUUCGAUUAGGUGUAGAAGCACUAGUCGGCUGUUGCCCGAACUUGCUGAUGGCGAUGCUCAGAAGGUAUGUACUGUUUGUGGAGUGACUAGUGAGAUGCAGUUUGUGAGGAAUGCUCGUGUUUGAAAUUGAUGCUCUAAAUUGAAGAGAAUUGUUUUGAUUUAUUGCCAGUUGCUGGCCCACUGGUGUGCAUUCUUGAGUGGCUCGCAUUAUCCUCUCGCUACUCGAGAUUAAUUCAGUCCAGUGGCUUGCGAGUUGGGAGAUGGUCAAGAGAUAUUAUCUUUUGCCCCCUUUCUCCAGUGGUCGAUGAUUCUCAUCGACUCAUCCUGUUUGAUUCAGGUGUGGUGCUUGGUCAGGAUCUAUUCCUUGAAUGGCAAUUGACAAAGAAAGAGACACUUUUGCAUCCCGGGGCUGCACAUGGAGCUAUAAAGGUGUAGUCAAAAUGUAUGAAUCUUGUGUCAAGGUUCUGAACCAGUCAGCCUGAAAAAGCUGUGCAACAAUGUUUACUAUUGAACGGGCUUCUGUAUAUAUAUAUAUUUUUUGAUUCCUUGUAUAAGUGAGGCUCCAGCGGUGUCACCGAUGAGAGCAUCACCUUUGAUUGUGGGCUGGAUUUUGGAAGGAGUCGAUUGCCUGUUCGGUCACCGGUAA